CAGUCGCCACGGUAAUACGAAGGGGGCUAGCGUUGCUCGGAAUGACUGGGCGUAAAGGGCGCGUAGGCGGCGAUCAAAGUCAGGCGUGAAAUUCCUGGGCUCAACCUGGGGGCUGCGUUUGAUACUUGAUUGCUAGAGUGGGGAAGAGGGUCGUGGAAUUCCCAGCGUAGAGGUGAAAUUCGUAGAUAUUGGGAAGAACACCGGUGGCGAAGGCGGCUCACUGGCCCGGUACUGACGCUGAGGCGCGAAAGCGUGGGGAGCAAACAGGAUUAGAUACCCCCGUAGUCCCUGUCUCUUAUAU
rnacentral:rRNA from 1 species